AGCAGCCGCGGUAAUUCCAGCUCCAAUAGCGUAUAUUAAAGUUGUUGCAGUUAAAAAGCUCGUAGUUGAAUUUCGGGAUCAAUAUAUCGGUCGUGCCAUUGGUACGUACUGGUAUCAUUGGUUUCUCCUUUCUGACGAACCAUGAUGUCAUUAAUUUGGUGUUAUGGGAAGUUAGGACUGUUACUUUGAAAAAAUUAGAGUGUUUAAAGCAGGCUUUAGCUUGAAUACAUUAGCAUGGGAUAAUGAAAUAGGACGUUCGAUCCUAUUUUGUUGGUUUCUAGGAUUGACGUAAUGAUUAAUAGGGAUAGUUGGGGGCAUUAGUAUUCAAUUGUCAGAGGUGAAAUUCUUGGAUUUAUUGAAGACUAACUACUGCGAAAGCAUUUGCCAAGGAUGUUUUCAUUAAUCAAGAACGAAAGUUAGGGGAUCGAAGACGAUCAGAUACCGUCGUAGUCUUAACCAUAAACUAUGCCGACUAGGGAUCGGAUGAUGUUAAUUUUUUAAUGACUCAUUCGGCGCCUUA
rnacentral:rRNA from 1 species